GGCUUAUUAUGUGUCCAGGAAGAUCCAGCUGAGAGGCCAUCAUUGGCAACAAUAGUUCUCAUGCUCAAUAGUUACUCUGUCACACUUCCGUCGCCUCAACAGCCUGCAUUUUUCAUAGGCAGUCGAACUGAGAGGAGCUUGCCCACAAAAGAAUUUGAGUUCUCUGAUAAAUCUACAAGCAAGUCGAUGCCAUGGUCUGUUGAUGAAGCAUCAAUUACUGAAGUAUACCCCCGUUAACUUGUAAAAAUUGUUGACGAUGCUUCUUCUUUAUGUUAGUAUAUGUUCUCCCCAAGGGGAGUGCUGGUACAUUACGAGGGAGAAUGACAUGGUUUAUGACAAGCAAUAAUGAUAAAGAGGAGGCGCCCUUCAAAUUGAAUGGCGCCGCGUUACAUUUUCCAAAGUUUUUAUUUGUUGAAGUAUAUGAUUAUUGUAUGGAUGAGUAACGAUGCAACGUUGGGAAAUCAAAUAUUCCAUUACGGUGUCGUUUGCGUUUAGUGUCGUCCGGUUAGUGUUUGCUGGGUCCGGACUCCGGAGCCCAAUUUUCCAUUACGAUGUAGUUUGUGUUCUAUGCCGUAAGCAUCCAGUUCUGUCUGAGUCUUCAAUUUUUUCUUUUUCCCCUGAAAAUUGUCUCAAUCUAUUUAAUUUAGUGAAAAUUUCAACAAAAUUUGACUGAGAUUUUCCGUCUUUCGUGCUUGACUUCCCUUUUAUUGACUUUGCGUGGACAGGUCUCCUCUGCAAUAAUCAACUUCCGCAUCUUCACCACGCGUUUCAACUUUCAAACAAAGUUGUUUGAUCAAUCUCAUCGCCAUUCACCAACAAUAAUACUUAAUAAAUGAACAGAGAAAUUAAAAGCAAUAAAAAAUAAAAAAAGAGGAAGAUAGACGAUCAUCACAUAUGUAUAUCCGUAGUACUAAGAACUAUUUAUUGUAUUCAUUCCCGGGUGAGGUCAGCCUGAGGCUGAAAGCGAGAAUCCAAAUGCGUUCCUUCAAAUUAUUCAUUUUCUUUCCGUUUCUGUCUUUUGUAAGCAUUUUUCUCAGAUUCACAACUGCAGCUGACCCAGAAUACCUCGCUCAUAAUUGCCCAAAUACAACAACUUUCAGCAGGAACAGGACUUCUCAAUCCAACCUCCACCUUUUCUUCUCUUCUCUGCCCACUAACGCCAGCCGCAGCAACGGAUUCUUCAGCCGUUUCUACAACGCCACAGCAGGCCAAGACUCUGACAGAGUCUACGGCCUCUUCCUCGGCCGUGGCGAUCUUGGCAGCAGCGCCUGCCAAGGCUGUCUCGCUUUUGCUGCCAGAAAUGUUAAUAUCAAAAUUUCCUUCUUCCUUAUGUUGCAAAGUCCCUAAAUAUCAACUCUUCUAACAUAUAACCCCUUUUUGUUUUGUUUUGUCCAAUUUCAUUCAUUUACUAUGGCAAAUCGAUAAAUUUGCCACCUAAUUUAUAUCGAAAGUUCAAUUUGAUACCAAAGAAUUUUGAUAAUAGCUCUCUGUACCACCGAACCUUUUUUUUAUGUUAACAUCGUUAGGCAAAGGUUGAUGUCGCAGGGGCAAUUUCGGUAUUUCAAAAUUUGGUUUCAUCUGGUAAAAAGGGACGCCUCUUUAUAAAUCAAAACGGUCAAUGAUGGUGAGUCAAAAAAAGAAAAAAGGGCCAAUGAUGGUUUGAUAUAAAAUGAAAAAGUUGAGUGCUACAGAGAAAUUGAUAAUUUCCUAAUCAGAAAAUACAUAUGUAAUUACUAUUAUUAAAUUUAACAUUGUAGUUGAUAUGUAUUUUGAGAAACAAACUUCAUUCUAAUUGUUCUUUUAACAUUCAUAUUCAUAUCGAUAAAGAAAAAACUAUAUCUAUAUCAAUUUUAAUAAAUGUUAAAAGAACAAUUAAGAUGGAAUUAGUUUCUUAAAAUAAUUAUUUUUUUGAAAUUUAAUUGUAAUUGAUAUGUAUUUAUUAAAAUUGGUAUAAAUAUAAUUGUUAAAAGAACAAUUAAGAUGAUUUUUUUUUUAAAUAAAAAUUUUCAGAAUUUUUAAAAUUAAUAAUAUUAAAAUUUAGCAGCGGAUCAAUGGGUGACACAUGUCUGCCCCUAUUGAAUGUUAAAUUAACUUUAAUAAAUAUAUAUUCAUAUUUAAAGACUUUAACUAAUAACAUAAAUAAAAUUAUAUGAAAACUUAAUCGUAUAAUUUCAUAUUGGGCGUAGUAGGGGCAAUUUCAUAUAUAACUAUUUUUGUUACUUUUUUUCCAUGUAAGUGGAUAAAUUGUCCUUAUAUAUAUUUAAAUAAUUCCUAUAAUAAAAUUGUCCUAUGUAAAGUAUAUGUAAACUAUUUUAUCACUUUUUAAGUGGUAAUUUGAUAUAACAAUUUGGGUGUUGGAGUACGUUUUUGUAGGUACCCCGCAUCAUUAAAGCUUAUCCAAUGAGGAAAGAAGAUAAUUUUUGUUGUGAAGGAAAAAGUCCACUUUCACAAAUGCAUUUUCAAAUUUAUCAAAAGCUAAUCAUUCAUAUAUAUUCUAAAGCAAAUAACACAAAUCAUUUGAAAAUAUCAAAGACAUGCUUAAUAUUUUGGAGCAACUUAAUUAUUGAAAUUGGAAGAGAGAGUGAUUCUGGGGUUUUCACUUUUCAUCCACCUCUCUAUAGGUGAAAAUCGCGCAACUCAAAUGUUUAUUUGUCCUUCAAACUAAUUUCACAGUGGCUCUUGUGAGUUGUGAUAGGAUAAGUGGCGUUCAAAUAGCUGUACUCUUUCAGUUUGCAAGUGUACCCAUCAUUUAAGCCCAGCCCGGCCCAUUUAUACCCAACAUAAUGGGCUGCUUAUGAAAUACUCUCCUAUAAUUCUGUUGAAGUAAGAACCCCAUCAUUGUUUUCUGAACCUCGUUUCCUGCAAAAAUCAAUUACGCAAACAAUGCCAUUAAAAUAGUAGCAAUAAACUUUUCAAAGAAUGUACACGGGAAUCGGACUAGAUCAUGACAUUGUAGUGAAACAUGCGAUUUGGCUAAUUGGCUUCAAGAAGAUACGAAACGAUGACUUUUAAACUCUUCAAUUUGAAGAAUUUUCAAAUAAUAUUUGAAAGGUAUAAUAUUUAAUUAAUACAUAUAUAACAUGUAUAAUUUACUUAAAUAUAAUUUUCAAUUAUAUAAUAAUAUCCGUUCAUCAUUGUCUCCUUUUAUAUGUAGUACCGAACAAGUUAAGGAAGUCAUGUUCAUGCCCAACCUAGUUUUGAUCCAUCAGCAUUUUACGCAUAAUUAAAGGACAAAAUACUCCCUGGAAAAUAUAUUCAUAAUAGACAGCUAACAUGAGACUUGGCUAUGUUGCAAUUGUAGUAUCAUACUAUAGUUGCAAUCAGUCAUUGGAUCCACUUAAAUCUACUAUUGUACCAUUCAUCUAAGUGAAUUUAAUAGAUGGUUGUAACUGUGGCACGGUACCACAAUUACAAUAUAAUCAAACCCGCUAACAUGUAUCUCUGACGUCACGAAUUGACUUCUGUCUUGAUCAAUUUAAUGUUUUUUUUUUUCCUUCAACUAACUUUCCACAAAUUCUUCAAUCACAAAAAAAUAAAAAUAAAAUAAGAGUUCCAGAAUUUCAUUUGAUUGAGGCUUUGCGACUUUUUUUCUCCGGGUGAUUGGAAGCAAAACAAGUAAUUAAUUGGAACGGGACGAGCUUGACUUCACUUAGUUGACUUUGUGCAGACGAGUCCCGUUUCCGACGCAACUUUUGCAGCUUCCACUACUCGUUUCUUCAUUAUAUUUGAUAAAAUCUCGUCUCCAUAAUUAAUAAAAUAAAAGGUAGAAUAAAAAGCAAUAAAGAGGAAGAAGAGAUAGAGGAUUGUAUUUGUAAUCCACAGUACGCAACAAAAACCUGAGAUUCCAAAUGCCGCCCUUGAAAUUCUUCAUGGUCUUUUCGUUUCUCAUAUAUCUUUUAAGCUUCCAGUUCAGUUUUACAGCUGCAGUUGUCCCAAUAUACGCUACUCAUGUUUGCUCAACAACAGCAAAUUUCACCAGAAACAGCACCUAUGAAAAAAGCCUCAAUCUUUUCCUCUCUUCUAUUCCGACUAACGCCAGCCGCGGAAAUGGAUUCUCCAGCGGAUUCUUCAACGCUACAGCCGGUCAAGACCCAAACAGGGUCUAUGGCCUCUUUCUCUGCCGCGGGGAUCAAACUACCAGCGGUUGUCAAGACUGUGUCACCUACGCUACAAGAAAUGUACUUCAGCUUUGCCCAGUCAGCAAACAAACAACACUAUGGUACGCUGAGUGCCUUUUACGUUACUCAGAUCAGUCUUUCUUUUCUACCAUGGCCGCAGCUCCCACUGUCUCUUUGUUGAAUACAGAAAAUGUUACGGACCAAGGCAGGUUUAACGAGCUAGUGGGGACUCAGAUGAGCCAAGCUGUAACUCAGGCUGUGAAUAAUACCAAAAGGUUUGCAACGAGAAAAGCAAAUUUCACAGCCUCUCAAACACUCUACAGUCUUGCACAAUGUACACCGGACCUGUCAAGUUCGGCUUGUAACAGAUGUCUUCGAGAAGCCAUCGCACGGUUGCCAAUUUGUUGCAGUGGAAAGCAAGGAGGAAGAGUGUUGACUCCGAGUUGUAAUGUAUGGUAUGAAUUGUACCCUUUUUACAAUGAAUCAGCCACAGCGCCGCCAGCACCUGCUCCGGUUCUUCUUUCUCCUCCACCUCCUGGUUCGGUAACGACGUCUCGAGGUAAAUGUGAACCCACUUUUUAUUGCCAUUUUCAUUAUUUUAAGUUUUAUAUGCUUUAUCGUUUUCUUUUGAGGGGUCUGUCAAUGAUACAUCUGGAAGUUAUGAUUUUAAGUGAAAGGCAACCAGAUUUUAGGCUCCUUUUGGUAUUAAGCUACAGUUAAAGUGUUUGAUGAAUACUUUAUGUGGUGAUUUUGAAUUCAAGUUAAUUUUAUUCUACACUUAUCUUAUUUAAAAUUUAUACAUAUUACUAUACUUUUAACUUUUAUUUUAUAAAAGCCACUAAACUUUAGUCUUCACAAUUGUGAGGUCAUGAGUUCGAAUCCCUACAACGCAUUGUGGGGGUUUAAUUUCUUUCCUCAAAUUUGAGUGAAGGUAGAGUGGAGUAGACGUCCCUCGAAUAUCAGAGAGGGUAAAAAUUUAGGCAUGCUUCAUAAGAAUCGAUGUAAACUAGUCCCAGUAAUAAUCUGAUUUGUAAAUACAAUCAGUUGUAAUAUCAUGUAAUAUGAGUUGUACGCCGGAUCAAUAGUUUCAUGUAAUAAAAAAAAAAUUAUUUUAUAAUUAUAAUUUUUUUCCACUGUAACUCACUACUAAAUAGGGAGGACCUUAAAAAGUUGGAUUGAUAUUGAUUCAUAAUAUACGUGAUUGAUGAUUUUAACCAUUUAAAACAAUGUUUGUUCUAGUUUGUUCUAGAUAUUUAACAUUCAAUAUGAUAUUUCACAUUGAUGAAUUUCUAGGAUGCCUAAUGAAACAUAUUGUUUUUCCCUGCAGGGAAAAGCGGAAUCUCAUCAUCAACAAUUAUUGCCAUUGUUGCUCCAAUUGUUGUCACUGCAGUGCUUUUCAUUGUGGGCUUCUGCUUCCUAAGAAGGAAAGCAAAAAAGAAGUAUAAUGCUGUACCGGAAGGUAAUGGUAAGCACAAGAGCUACUUUAUUACCAAAUCAAUAGUUGUAACUUUUAACAAGAGUAUGUACGCAUACAAUUGUUGUAACUUUUUUGUGAGACUGAUUUAAUUACUUUUUGUUUGUGCAGCUGAUAACGAUCUUACAACUCUAGAAUCCUUGCAAUUUGAUUUCGAGGCAAUUAAAGUUGCCACAAACAAAUUCUCAACUGACAACAAGUUGGGUGCAGGUGGAUUUGGUGAGGUUUAUAAGGUAUACCAUUCAUUAUCAUGACAUCUCUGAAAGUUUUUAGCAGUUGCAAGACACGUCACAAAUUUUCUAAUUGUUGAUUAAUGUAUCUUUGCAGGGUGUACUUCCUAGCGGGCGAGAAAUAGCUGUGAAAAGGCUAUCAAAAAGCUCUGGACAGGGUGCAGAAGAAUUUAAGAAUGAGGUCGUUGUGGUUGCCAAGCUUCAACACAGAAAUCUGGUUAGGCUACUGGGAUUUUGCUUGGAGGGUGUAGAAAAGCUACUCAUAUACGAAUUUGUGCCAAACAAAAGCCUUGACUAUUUUCUUUUUGGUUAGGAUCAUUUACAUAAAUUUCAAUGUCUUAAGAGAGUUUAAUAUUCAAGAUUUUUUAAUAGAUUAUUUGAGUUUUUAUCCAUCUUUUCAGGACGGACAGAAUUUCUAGAUUGCAUUUAAAUUCAAUUUCCAAAUUUCAAUUUGAAGUAUUGAUUUUGAUAUGUGCACAGACCCUGAAAAACAAGGACAAUUGGAUUGGUCAAGGCGCUACAAGAUAAUUGGACUGAUUGCUCGAGGAAUUCUUUAUCUUCACGAAGAUUCUCGACUCAGAAUUAUACAUCGUGACCUGAAAGUUAGCAAUAUACUCUUAGACGCAGAGAUGAAUCCAAAAAUUUCAGACUUUGGCAUGGCAAAGAUAUUUGGAGUUGAUCAAACUCAAGGAAAUACUAGCAGAAUAGCUGGGACAUAGUAAGUAUAGACAACCAUUCCCCUUUUUUACAUACUCUCCAUUUGAUUAGUUUACAAUUUAUGCAUUAUAUCCCCUAGGAGAACCAUUUAGUCUGGGUUAUAAAUAAAUUGUAUAGAGUUAUUUGAAUAAUUUCAAAAGAUUUGUUGUUGUCUUUAGACCGACUUAGUUGCUGGUUUACAGUGGUUACAUGGCCCCAGAAUAUGCUAUGCAUGGGCAAUUUUCUGUGAAAUCAGAUGUAUAUAGUUUUGGUGUCCUAGUUCUGGAGAUUAUAACCGGGAAGAAGAACAGCAGCUUUUAUCAAACAGAUGGUGCUAGACAUCUUUUGAGCUAUGUAAGCAUUUCCCUUUAUUAGUGCCUAUAUCAUCACUCACAAGUAAAAGCACCAAAAAAGAGGUAGAAGCUGCAACCUUUUUUAAUAUCCCUCAUAUACUGUUUGCAGGCUUGGAAACAAUGGAGGGAUGGAACUCCUUUGCAGUUGUUGGAUCCAAAUCUGACAGAUACUUACUCAAGAAAUGAAGUAAUUAGAUGCAUCCAUUUGGGCUUAUUAUGUGUCCAGGAAGAUCCAGCUGAAAGGCCAUCAAUGGCAACAAUAGUUCUCAUGCUCAAUAGUUACUCUGUCAUACUUCCAUCGCCUCAACAGCCUGCAUUUUUCAUAGGCAGUCGAACUGAGAGGAGCUUGCCCACAAAAGAAAUUGAGUUCUCUGAUAAAUCUACAAACAAGUCGAUGCCAUGGUCUGUUGAUGAAGCAUCAAUUACUGAAGUAUACCCCCGUUAACCCGUAAGAACUGUUAACAAUGCUUCUUCUUUGGAUUGUAUAUGGUCUACCCAUGGGCAGGGCUAGUACAGUGUGGGGGAGAAUAACAUGGCUUAUGACAAGCAAUAAUGA
rnacentral:lncRNA from 1 species